GGUGGGUCGUGAACAAUAUUAGCCAAUUUAAAUGAAUUUCGGAGAAUAUAUGAUAUACAGGACGAUGGAAUUGUGAGCAACCACCAGCCUUAUCAGACGAUGAUCCAGUGUUUGAUGCAUUGAUGAAGCAGUUUACGCAGAAUGGGACUCUUGUAGCCGGAAUCCAUGAGUUGUCGGAAAUAAAUUGGUUUGCUGUAAAUUAUAAGGCUGUCAGGAUAACCAUAAUGCAUCUUGUUUUUGAAAGAAAUCACCCAUCUCAAAUUUAUUCAAUUAGGAUGAGUAUCCUGGGACCUGCGAUAUGAGCCUCCUCUUUUUUUUAACGGCGCCAGACCUGCGAUAUGAGCCUCCUCUUUUUAUUAAUGGCGUCAGUCUGUUUUUUGUAGACUUUUAUUUGGGGAAUCAAGUAUAGCUUUAAUUUUGGAGACUACCUUCGUAAUAUAUAGCUGCUCAACAAAAUAUUGUUAGUUGCUUUUCAUUUUCUUGUUAUCUUUAAAAAAGGAUCGGAGCGCUGACGCUCUUAUGUAAGAAGUUUCUAAAAAGAACUACCAUUUAUUUUUACUAUGUCUAUAAAAAAAGAAAAUAAAGCUAUUUAUCACAUGUGAACAAGUUUGUUGUUCACAGAUUUUUUGAA